GAGCGAACGCUGGCGGAAUGCUUAACACAUGCAAGUCGCACGGGGGGCUUCGGCCUUAGUGGCGGACGGGUGAGUAACGCGUAGGAACGUGUCUUGGGGGUGGGGGAUAACGCUGGGAAACUGGCGCUAAUACCGCAUGUCUGCUGUGGCAGAAAGCCUUCGGGUGCCUUGAGAGCGGCCUGCGUCCGACUAGCUAGUUGGUGGGGUAAAGGCUUACCAAGGCGACGAUCGGUAGCNGGUCUGAGAGGACGAUCAGCCACACUGGGACUGAGACACGGCCCAGACUCCUACGGGAGGCAGCAGU
rnacentral:rRNA from 1 species